rnacentral:lncRNA from 1 species
CAUCAUGCUGUUCUUGUGAUAGCGAGUGAGUUCUCAAGAGAUCUGAUGGUUUAAUAAGAGGUUUUCUCCCUUUUGCUUGGCACUUCCCCUUGCUGCUGCCACCAUGUGAAGGAGGACGUGUUUGCUUCCCCUUCUGCCUUGAAAAUUUCUUGAUGCCUCCCCAACCAUGCUGAACUGCAACAAAAAUGAAGUCUUCUGACCCACUACCAUAUCUGGGUAAAAUCUUUGGCUCAACGGAUGGCUUAAAUAUGACAAAUAAAAAGGCCAUGUUGUAAAGAUGGAAUCACAAGAUGGCACCUGCUUGGAUUCCUAAGUCACUCCCUACUGGAAGGAGGCUUUCCUGGAGACUCUCUAGAACUGCAGCAGACCUUAUUGUACCCUCAGGAUACCAGGCUCCAUCUUGGCCCAACAGCUCCA